rnacentral:rRNA from 1 species
CCUACGGGGGGCAGCAGUGAGGAAUAUUGGUCAAUGGGCGAGAGCCUGAACCAGCCAAGUCGCGUGAGGGAGUACUGCCCUAUGGGUUGUAAACUUCUUUUGUCAAGGGACAAAAUCAGGCUCGAGAGCCUGACCGAGGGUACUUGAAGAAAAAGCAUCGGCUAACUCCGUGCCAGCAGCCGCGGUAAUACGGAGGAUGCGAGCGUUAUCCGGAUUUAUUGGGUUUAAAGGGUGCGUAGGUGGAUUGUUAAGUCAGCGGUAAAAGCCCGGGGCUCAACCCUGGCGGGCCGUUGAAACUGGCUGUCUUGAGAUGUCGAGAGGUAGGCGGAAUGCGCAGUGUAGCGGUGAAAUGCUUAGAUAUUGCGCAGAACUCCGAUUGCGAAGGCAGCAUACCGGCGGCGAUCUGACGCUGAGGCACGAAAGCGUGGGUAUCGAACAGGAUUAGAUACCCGGGUAGUC